rnacentral:sRNA from 1 species
CGCCAGUGAAGGCAGGAGGAGGGUUAUGAGCUGCCCCGCUCCUGUGUGGCUGGGGAGGGUAUUCAGGAGGGGAUGGGAUGGGCCUGGCUCCAGCCCCUCUCUGUUGACCCUCCCCACCCCGGCCUGACCUGUAGUUUGACCCUGAGCUGGUGCUGGUCUCGGCAGGAUUUGACUCAGCCAUCGGGGACCCUGAGGUGAGGGCCUUGCCUGGCCAGGGAGGGCUUCUGGGGUCCUGGGGCCCAGGUCCCCCAUCACACAUGGCUCUGGUUCCAGGGGCAAAUGCAGGCCACGCCAGAGUGCUUCGCCCACCUCACACAGCUGCUGCAGGUGCUGGCCGGCGGCCGGGUCUGCGCCGUGCUGGAGGGCGGCUACCACCUGGAGUCACUGGCGGAGUCAGUGUGCAUGACAGUACAGACGCUGUUGGGUGACCCGGCUCCACCCCUGUCAGGGUCAAUGGUGCCAUGUCAGAGGUGCGAGGGGAGGUAGGGCAGGCGGGGCUGGGGUGUGAGGCCAGGUGUCACGACUGUUGUGUCUCCCCCACAGUGCCCUGGAGUCCAUCCAGAGUGCCCGUGCUGCCCAGGCCCCGCACUGGAAGAGCCUCCAGCUGCAAGGUCAGUGUGGCCGGGUGCUAGGCUGCAGGAUCCCACCUCGGGCUCCCGUGCAGUGGCUAUGACUCCGAACUGUCCCUAGAUGUGACCCCUGUGCUGAUGAGCCCCAGCAUUCUCUCCCCAGAGGAGAGGCCUCCACCUCUGCUGCCUGGGGGUCCAGUGUGUAAGGGAGCUGCAUCUGCACCGAGCUCCCUCCUGGACCAGCCGUGCCUCUGCCCUGCACCCUCUGUCCGCACCGCUGUUGCCCUGACAGCACCAGAUAUCACAUUGGUCCUGCCCCCUGACGUCAUCCAACAGGAAGGGUCAGCCCUAAGGGAGGAGACAGAAGCCUGGGCCAGGUGAACAGUGGUAUAGCAGCCACUCCAGCCUCUGCUGCAGCAGCCACCCUGGAUGUGGCUAUUCGGAGAGGCCUGUCUCAUGGAGCCCAGAGGCUGCUGUGUGUGGCCCUGGGACAGCUGGACCGGCCUCCGGACCUCGCCCAUGACGGGAGGAGUCUGUGGCUGAACAUCAGGGGCAAGGAGGCGGCUGCCCUAUC